GCUCAACAAUAACAACCAAAAAAUCAACUAAAAAAAAGUCUCUCUCUGAGGCGAUUUUCGAAUCUCCUCUCCGACAGGAAACCGUCGACAAAAAGACGGUUUUUCCGUAUGACGAGACCAGAAAGAAAUGGCUUUCAAGCGAUUUCUUCCUUGUUUCAAACAUCUCCAUGGGUGGCGUAGUGGCUAUCUGUGAUGGGAAAGUGGUUUGUGUCAACCGCUACGGGAACGUGAUCCACUACAACGAGAUUUUGGGAAGAAACCGCAGAUCUAAGAGAUUAUAUUCGCCAUACCCAAUUACUUACUCCAAUACAAUCUUUCGUAUCUCUUAGCAAUUGCAAAACCUUUGUUCUUUUCUACUUGUCUCCUACUGCUUUCAUUCCUAAUGGCAGAUAACCUUCGCAGGGCCAUCAAUUUGGGUGCUGAUGAUGAACCGGUGGCGUUACCAACAACGGUGUGUAGAGAGGCUGCCCGUGUUAACCAGUUCUCAUUGAUGGGCUGUCCGUUGAUUCUCCGAAGACAGAACAUUAGGGCGAUGCUCGCCUCCUUCCCUCGCAUGUGGGGACUCCAAGGGAUAAUCUCUGGAAGACUUAUCGAGAGAAGGAUGUACCAGUUCUUCUUUCCGUCGGAGGAACUGAUGCAGUCGAUUCUCAACAGAGGACCAUGGGCGUUCAAUGAAAGGAUGACGCUGCUGCGCCGAUGGAGUCCAGAAAUGCAAUUUGGCUGGGGUAUGGAGAAUGUUCUGGAAACAGAUUCCGAUCCAGACGCAGGCAAUGGUGUAGAGUUUGUUCGUGUCAAGUUGAAUUGGAACGUCGAUCUCCCACUCAAAUUCCAGCAGAAUUUCCAAAUUUCUCCAAGGGUCAACACUUUGCUCAAGUUCCGGUACGAAAGAUUGAAGGGAUUUUGUGAAGUAUAUGGAAUGUUAACUCAUGAUACUGGAGCGUGCAUCCAUCAUGUUUCAGACUACCAGGAGGAUGAUGACAACCAUGGAGAUGGCCAAGCUGAUAAUCCAAAUGACAGUGAUCACAAUAUGGAGGGACCAAAUGCAGCAGGGGAAGAUCACAACCCUAUGGAGAAUAAGGAAGAAUUCGAUCACAUGGAGGAGAAUCAUGGUGAACAAAUGCCCCAUGGUAGAAUCAAUGACGAAGCUGUUCUUGAUGAUGGAGAUGCAGAACAUGAGGAGGUCCAGAAAGCAGAUGAUUCUGGGAGAAAGUAGCAAGACUCAGAGGAAGGAAUGUCCUGAAGAGACGACUCCAAAUGGAAAUAUGGAGGGAGAGGAGUUCUUUGCUUCACCUGAGGAGUCAUCGGCUCAAUAUGGUACCUACUUAGGAGAUCCAAGUGCAUAUUCUGGCUUGAAGGUUUCAACUCCAACCAGGAAGAGAAUGAGAGAGGAGGUGGAACCAACCGAGCCGAUUAUUGACAAGUUCAUGAGUGGACCUGUUAAGUUGGUGUGUGGACCAGGGGCACUGCAGAAGCUUCAAGCGGAUUAUGAAGAGGAGGAUGAGGCUGCAUUUCAUCUGAUUCAUGACCUUGGAGGCACGGUGGGCCCUAAUCCACCAGCAACUCCAUGAGAGUAGAAGUUUGGAACUGUCGGGGAAUGGGACAACUCCUGACAGUUCGACGCCUAAAGGAGAUGCAAAAAGUGUAUCUCCCGGACAUGUUGUUCCUUGUGGAAACAAACCAGCAAGACAACUCUGUGAGAGACAUUGGAGUAAUGCUAGGAUUCGAUGAUAUGCAUAUUGUUUCUCCUCAGGGUUUAAGUGGUGGUCUAGUUGUGUAUUGGAAAACACAUGUUUCUGUCCUAUGUAAUUCCUUUGAUUCAAGGCUUGUAGACUUAUCCAUUGUAUUUAAAUCUUUUAAGUU